UUAAAGUGGCGACAUGACGUUUGUUCAGUGU
rnacentral:piRNA from 1 species